rnacentral:lncRNA from 1 species
AAAGCUAAUUCUAAUAGCAGGGUAAAGUGACUUAAAUGCUGGCUCCCAAACUUUGUGAUAGGGCACACUUCUGAAUUUCACUGGUGGUGUCUCUGAUGGUGUGGCGUUAAAAUCCCUGUGUGCUGGCACAUGUCACAGCAAAGAAUAACACUGUGCUGGGAACAAAGCAAACCCCAAACCCUAAGAACCUCCCUUAGACUGUAUUACCGCACUUGAGCCCGCCAGGUCACUAUCUACUAUUGCUCUUCUCCAGAAGAGAAAACAUGGACAUAGCUGAAGUUAGGCAAAAUGAACAGAAAGUAAAUUAUAGAGGAGACACUAGCACCUAAGAGGAGAGGCUGCAUGUAAAAGAUGCCGCUGCAGGGGCAGCGAGCACAAAGGCAUACAGACUUUCCAUUGUGUAUUUUAUUUAAGUAACACCAGAAAGCUUUGAUCAAAUAAAAACCCAGGGAAAGGCAGUGGUGUAUAAUAAUGAAGUCAGGCUGGUGGUCAAGAGAAUAGAGGCCUGGAUUGAGAGUCAAGAAGACCUGAGUUCAAAUUUGGCCUUUCCAUCUUUCUUCAUUUGAUUUCUGUGAAGUCCUAAUUCAGGGAUAUUUUCAUUUUAAUCUCUGUGGUUGAUGAUGAUCUUGGUUUUUCAGGUCAUUGGUGACCCUCUGUAUUUCUGUCUCUAAAAACUAUAUGUUUGCAUCCUUUGACCACUUGUUUUUCCCUGUCUUUUAUAGAGCGACUGCUACAGAGUUAACCGGAACAUUAUCAAGAAUUUCAGCACAAUACAAAAAGUAUUGUUUCUAUGCACGACAAGGUCUCUCCUCCCCCCCCCCCCUUCUUCUUCCUAAAUGUAAUUUUUAAUGAUUUAGGUAAGAUUUAGUUUACCGGCUAUAUUUUCUUAAUUAAAUUGCUAUAGUCCAGGUAAGUUGUUCCUGGAAAGGUCACUGACUGGCAAUUCUGCUAUCUAGAGCAACCUACUUAAAGGUCUUGAUUUUUCUUUAUAUUCCGAGGUUUGGACUUGAGUUGUUUUUUUUUGUUUGUUUGUUUGUUUGCUUUGUUUUGAACUUUGUAAUGAAAUUGGCCUUGGCAAUAUAGUCACAUCACUCCAAUAUUAGGUCUGGUUAUAAAAGGCUUUAUUGUCCGUUGAAUGGCAACUGGGAAGAUUUUUUUAAAGAACUUAUUUGCAUAUCCAGAUAUUGUUAGAACUGCAAAAGUAUUUGUUUGCAGUGGUGCCUCUCCCCAGCAGCUCCUUCUCGCUCUGCUGUCCUUCUUGGUAGGAUCUUUGCUGCUUCCCCCCCCCUUUUCCAUUUAAGGGGGUCGGUGGGGGCGGGGGUGGGGGUCAGUGGGGAGAGCACCACCUUAGGCGGAGUUGCAGGGGUUAAGCUGUAGCUGCAGUGGGAGCGUAGCCCCGCCCCUUCUUUCAGCACCUGGUGCUCUAUAGACAGUUGCCUCAGCAGUAGAUUUCAGAGGGGAUUGGAGGAAAAACAAGAGAGGGGGAGAGAAUGUGACAACUGCCGCUUUGGGUUGCUGCCUUGGGGGGGGGGGAGGCCUCCCGCACCUGUCCCUGCCUGUCUCUCAGCCAGCCCAGUCGCGGAAUCAGACCCAGCCCGGAGCAGGCAUCCCUCAUCUGCCAGACCGGGGAGCGAGCGGUUGCCCCGUAAAGAACAUGACUUCUUCCUUCAAGCUGGAUUUCCUCCCGGAGAUGAUGGUUGAUAGCCGCUUGCUAGUUUCGGAGAGAAUGUAAGUGGAGCUCUGGCCGCCCCUGCCCGAUGCUGCUGCAUCCUCGGAGCGAGCUUUGGUGCCUGUGAGGGGGCAGAGCGUGGGGGGCUGUAAGGGGGGAGGCGGCGGCAUGGGGAGCGUU